ACAUUACAAUUAAUGCAUUAGCUAAUGAAUCCAGCAUUUUCCCCACCCCUCAUCUGCCUGUUGCAGAGCUGGGCCAUGAACUCGGAUUUCUGAACCCCAGCUUUAACCAUAAGACCAUCCUUUGUUCAUUCCCAGUUCUGUGCUUUCUUUCAUGCAAUCCCCCACACCCAGGAGUCUUGGAAAAGGGGUUUAGCAAAUAUUGAUUACCUUUGCCUCCUUCAAAACACUCCUGGAGAAUCACUCACUUUGUGAACCUUUCUACCUGAAGAUCACUUGCUAUUCUGCAUGCAGUCCUAGGACUGUAAACUGUUCCAGAUAUUACUCCUGGGGGAAUUCUGCGUCACUGUGCAUGCACAGAAUUCAUGUCCCUUGCAGAUUUCUUUGCUUCCCCACAGAAAAAUGACUUCUGAUGGGGAAGCAAACGGAAGUCCACAAGAGCGGUCAUACAAUGUCUCCCCUGG